UACGUAGGGGGCUAGCGUUGUCCGGAAUCAUUGGGCGUAAAGCGCGUGUAGGCGGUCCGGUAAGUCCGCUGUGAAAGUCGGGGGCUCAACCCUCGAAUGCCGGUGGAUACUGUCGGGCUAGAGUUCGGAAGAGGCGAGUGGAAUUCCCGGUGUAGCGGUGAAAUGCGCAGAUAUCGGGAGGAACACCUAUGGCGAAGGCAGCUCGCUGGGACGUUACUGACGCUGAGACGCGAAAGCGUGGGGAGCAAACAGG
rnacentral:rRNA from 1 species